rnacentral:lncRNA from 1 species
CCUCAAGGGAUCCACCCGCGUCUGCCUCCCAAAGUGCUGGGAUUACAGGCAUGACCCACCGUGCCUGGGCAAGAUAUACUAAAUUUUUAUUCAGCUAAAAUACACAUCUCCGAAGACCCAUUAACUAGGAUUGCAGGGACUCUCACCUAUGGAGAAGACAGGUGUUGGUAGGAGGUAUGCUGGGAAGAGCUUUGCUAUAUCUCCGGAAGGAAGAAGAUUGUUUCCCCUCGGGGGAUGGCACUUUCAACAUGUGGGAGCUUGUCGGGUCACAGAAGAAUGACAGGUCACGGGAAGUCCUUCAUAGUGUUUCUGUGAAUAGCAGACUGUCACAGGUUGAGUCCCUUGGAACAUAGAUGCUGAGAUUUGCAUUAAGGAAGUUCAUUGAGGGGAGGUGAUGAUCUUUUGUGAACAAUACCUGUGAGUUGCGAAGGGAACAGGAUUUGGUGGAAGAAGAAAUCGCAGCAGAGGCCUCAGGUUGACUCUUAAGAACUGUCCACAUUGAGGCAUGAGGACAGGUCUUUGUACCCCUGCAUGAACCCAUCAUUGGGUGCAAGCUCUCUCCAAGAAGAAGGAAUGGCCUUAGGUGGGCCAUCUCCCUCUGGUCCAGAAUAACUCCUGGAGCUGUGAUACGUCCAGAUGGAGGAAUGAGCACCUCAUUCCCAAAGAGGAAUCUGGGCGGCACCCACUGCAGGGGUGAAAUUAUCAGAGCCAAGAGGCUACUCUAGAUGGGUGCUACUCUAGAUGACUGUAGACUGUUACAAGUCCUCGAUAAGAUGAAGAGCUUGCAUCAAAAUUUAAAGCAACACAAU